AUCCUUUUGUGGUUCCUAAGCAUGAUGAUUGGGUGUUCAUGUGCUUAUGUGAGAUGCGCCGCUCUCAAACUUUGUUACAACAUCAGCACAUUAUUUAUCUGAUA
ensembl:snoRNA